GGUUCCAUGGUCUAGUGGUAUGAUACUCGCUUAGGGUGCGAGUAGUCGUGGGUUCAAUUCCCACUGGAACCC
rnacentral:tRNA from 2 species